rnacentral:lncRNA from 10 species
GAUACUUAGGCUCCCCAGAGAAAUUAGUCACAAGUCUUAUCCCUUCAUCUCCAUUUACAGCCAUUUAUUUGGGAGCAACAUACUUUAAAUGAGUGAUAAACAAAAUGUCUCCCCACAGCCCCCACCCCAGCAUGUGUUCUGAAGUUCACAGGAAGGCUUCUCCUCAUUUGCUUUGGGGCCCGCAGGCUGCCUGCUAACAGCUGGGUCUUCCCAUGAACAAAUUAGACAGUUAAUGUUCCAGGAUGAAGAGGGCUUCGGGGAACAGAAUCUGCCGUUUAUUUGACUUGCUUCAUUAGACACAGUGCCAUCAUACCAAAAUUAGAAAAAAGAAGGAACUCAGCGGAAAUCAGCUACACAAGAAGAACCUCUCAGUUCUGAGAAUUCACAUUAACCAGUGAUUAAGAAAUAUUAAAAAGGUAUAGUUCUUGGCUGUGCUGAGGAUCUGUAAGGCACCAGAUGUGAAAGUAAGGAAGAAAGAUGGAUGUGGAAGAAAGUCACUGCCCAGAGAAUAAGGAGACCUGGAUUCUAAUCUCAGCUCUGCCAUUAACUAGCUGUGAGACUCAAGAAUAACUAAUCAUU